AGGGAAUCUUCCGCAAUGGACGAAGGUCUGACGGAGCAACGCCGCGUGAGUGAUGAAGGCCUUCGGGUCGUAAAACUCUGUUGUUAGGGAAGAACAAGUAUCGGAGUAACUGCCGGUACUUUGACGGUACCUAACCAGAAAGCCACGGCUAACUACGUGCCAGCAGCCGCGGUAAUACGUAGGUGGCAAGCGUUGUCCGGAAUUAUUGGGCGUAAAGCGCGCGCAGGCGGUCCUUUAAGUCUGAUGUGAAAGCCCACGGCUCAACCGUGGAGGGUCAUUGGAAACUGGGGGACUUGAGUGCAGAAGAGGAAAGCGGAAUUCCACGUGUAGCGGUGAAAUGCGUAGAGAUGUGGAGGAACACCAGUGGCGAAGGCGGCUUUCUGGACUGUAACUGACACUGAGGCUCGAAAGCGUGGGGAGCAAAC
rnacentral:rRNA from 1 species